GCCGGGUGUGGCGGCGUGCACCUGUAGUCCCAGUUACUUGGAGGCUGAGGCAGGAGAAUUGCUUGAACCCAGGAGGUGGAGGCUGCAGUGAGCCGAGAUUGGCCACUGCACUCCAGCCUGGGCGACACAGCAAGACUCCGUCUCAA
rfam:Pan troglodytes isolate Yerkes chimp pedigree #C0471 (Clint) chromosome 7, whole genome shotgun sequence.